rnacentral:rRNA from 1 species
CUACGGGGUGCUCCAGUGGGGAAUAUUGGGCAAUGGAGGAAACUCUGACCCAGCGACGCCGCGUGAGGGACGAAGGCCUUCGGGUUGUAAACCUCUUUCAGCAGGGAAUAAGCGAAAGUGAAGGUACCUGCAGAAGAAGCACCGGCUAACUAUGUGCCAGCAGCCGCGGUAAUACAUAGGGUGCAAGCGUUGUCCGGAAUUAUUGGGCGUAAAGAGCUCGUAGGUGGUCGAUCACGUCGGAUGUGAAAAUCUGAGGCUUAACCUCAGACCUGCACUCGAUACGGGUUGACUAGAGUGUGGUAGGGGAGACUGGAAUUCCUGGUGUAGCGGUGGAAUGCGCAGAUAUCAGGAGGAACACCGAUGGCGAAGGCAGGUCUCUGGGCCAUUACUGACACUGAGGAGCGAAAGCGUGGGGAGCGAACAGGAUUAGAUACCCCAGUAGUC